rnacentral:rRNA from 1 species
UCCAGACUCCUACGGGAGGCAGCAGUGGGGAAUAUUGCACAAUGGGGGAAACCCUGAUGCAGCGACGCCGCGUGAGUGAAGAAGUAUUUCGGUGUGUAAAGCUCUAUCAGCAGGGAAGAAAAUGACGGUACCUGACUAAGAAGCCCCGGCUAACUACGUGCCAGCAGCCGCGGUAAUACGUAGGGGGCAAGCGUUAUCCGGAUUUACUGGGUGUAAAGGGAGCGUAGACGGCAUGGCAAGUCAGAUGUGAAAGCCCGGGGCUCAACCCCGGGACUGCAUUUGAAACUGUCAGGCUGGAGUGCAGGAGAGGUAAGUGGAAUUCCUAGUGUAGCGGUGAAAUGCGUAGAUAUUAGGAGGAACACCAGUGGCGAAGGCGGCCUGCUGGACUGCAACUGACGUUGAGGCCCGAAAGCGUGGGGAGCAAACAGGAUUAGAUACCCCUGUAAA